ACUGUUUGAAAAUCGACUGCAGCUUUGCCCACGGCCCCAGUGAGAUUCAGCACCCAGAGCCACCAGGGGCCUCAGCUCACUGCCCACUGCCUCAGUGCGGGAUGCUGAAACCCAGGCCCUGACAGCU
ensembl:snoRNA small nucleolar RNA ACA64